GCGCCCGUGGCUCAAUUGGAUAGAGCAUUUGGCUACGGACCAGAAGGUUGCAGGUUCGAGUCCUGCCGGGCGCA
rnacentral:tRNA from 1 species